GUGCCUGUAGCUCAGCGGUUAGAGCAGAAGACUCAUAAUCUUUUGGUCGUAGGUUCGAAUCCUGCCGGGCGCA
rnacentral:tRNA from 1 species